CACAGAACAACAUACGUUUAAAUAAAGAACAAGCUCAAAACAAGCAUCCGAACCAUAAAUAAUGCACUGCAUAGCCCCCUCAGCAUUUGUAGUGGUGGUUUUGCUACAGCUUCGCUG
rnacentral:lncRNA from 1 species